AUGGCCAAACUCUCUACAUAUACGGCUCUGCUUUUACCCAGAGCCGUAUAUUGAGAGAGUUUGGCCAU
rnacentral:pre_miRNA from 1 species